rnacentral:piRNA from 1 species
UGGAAAGCAGUAAGCGUCUGAGCCCA